GACGAACGCUGGCGGCGUGCUUAACACAUGCAAGUCGAACGCUGAAGCUUGGUGCUUGCACUGGGUGGAUGAGUGGCGAACGGGUGAGUAAUACGUGAGUAACCUGCCCUUGACUCUGGGAUAAGCCUGGGAAACUGGGUCUAAUACUGGAUACGACAUGUCACCGCAUGGGGGUGUGUGGAAAGGGUUUUACUGGUUUUGGAUGGGCUCACGGCCUAUCAGCUUGUUGGUGGGGUAAUGGCUCACCAAGGCGACGACGGGUAGCCGGCCUGAGUGGGUGACCGGCCACACUGGGACUGAGACACGGCCCAGACUCCUACGGGAGGCAGCAGUGGGGAAUAUUGCACAAUGGGCGGAAGCCUGAUGCAGCGACGCCGCGUGAGGGAUGACGGCCUUCGGGUUGUAAACCUCUUUCAGCACGGAAGAAGCGAAAGUGACGGUACGUGCAGAAGAAGCGCCGGCUAACUACGUG
rnacentral:rRNA from 1 species